AGUAUUAAUAUAAUAGGGUUUAGCAGGGUGCAGGCCCUUGAAUAUAAACAGGAUGGGGUUUAGCAGGGUGCAGGUACCUGAGUAUUAACAGGAUGGGGUUUAGCAGGGUGCAGGUCCCUGAGUAUUAACAGGAUGGGGUUUAGCAGGGUGCAGGUCCCUGAGUAUUAACAGAGUGGGGUUGAGCAGCGUGCAGGAUCCUGAGUAUUAACAGGAUGGGGCUUAGCAGGGUGCAGGUCCCUGAGUAUUAACAGAAUGGGAUUCAGCAGGGUGCAGGUCCCUGAGUAUUAACAGAAUGGGGUUCAGCAGCGUGCAGGUCCCUGAGUAUUAACAGGAUGGGGCUUAGCAGGGUGCAGGUCCCUGAGUAUUAACAGGAUGGGGCUUAGCAGGGUGCAGGUCCCUGAGUAUUAACAGGAUGGGGUUUAGCAGGGUGCAGGUCCCUGAGUAUUAACAGAAUGGGGUUCAGCAGGAUGCAAGUCCCUGAGUAUUAACAGAAUGGGGUUGAGCACAGUGCAGGAUCCUGAGUAUUAACAGGAUGGGGCUUAGCAGGAUAUAGGUCCCUGAGUGUUAAGUGGAUGGGGUUUAGCAGGGUGCAGGUCCCUGAGUAUUAACAGGAUGGGGUUUAGCAGGGUGUAGGUCCCUGAGUAUUAACAGAAUGGGGUUCAGCAGGGUGCAGAUCCCUGAGUAUUAACAGAAUGGGGUUGAGCACAGUGCAGGAUCCUGAGUAUUAACAGGAUGGGGCUUAGCAGGAUACAGGUCCCUGAGUGUUAAGAGGAUGGGGUUUAGCAGGGUGCAGGUCCCUGAGUAUUAAGAGGAUGGGGUUUAGCAGGGUGCACGUCCCUCAGUAUUCACAUGAUGGGGUUUAGCAGGGUGUAGGUUCCUGUGUAUUAACAGGAUGGGAUUCAGCAGGUUAAAGGUCCCUGAGUAUAAACAGGAUAGGUCUUAGCAGGGUGCAGGUAGCUGUGUUUUAACAGAAUGGGGUUUAGCAGGGUGCAGGUCCCUGAGUAUUAACAGGAUGGGGUUUAGCAGGGUGCAGGUCGCUGUGUAUUAACAGGAUGAGGUUUAGCAGGCUGCAGGUCCCUGAGUAUUAACAGGAUGGGGUUUAGCAGGGAGCAGGUCCCUGAGCAAUAAUCGGUUGAGGCUUUGGUGGUUGCAGGUCCCUCUGUAAUAACAGGAUGGGGUUUAGCAGAGUGCAGGUCCCUGAGUAUAAAUAGGAUGGGGUUUAGCAGAGUGCAGGUCCCUAAGAAAUAACAGGAUGGGGUUUAGCAGAGUGCAGGUCCCUGAGUAUUAACAGGAUGGGGUUUAGCAGGGAGCAGGUCCCUGAGUAUUAACAGGAUGGGGUUUAGCAGGGUGCAGGUCGCUGAGUAUUAAAAAGGGUGGGGUAUCGAGGGUGCAUGUCCCUGAGUAUUAACAAGAUGAGGUUCAGCAGGGUGCUGGUCCCUGAGUAUU